UACCAAAAUCAUGGCUAUGACAUCGAGGACCGCCUCCAACUAAAUGAUAAGAUUGAGGCCCUCAUCUAAAGGGACUACAUUGGGAAAUAUGUCCAAAACAAAUAAGAUUGAGCUCUUGAAGAACUACCUCGGCACCAGACCGACAAGAAGAAUAACAAAUUUGACCAACGGUUGGUGUAAUCAAUAUGAUCUUGAGCCUCCGAAGCAGCA
rnacentral:lncRNA from 1 species